GAAAUGCUCCCUCCGUCCCAAAAUUCUUGUCUUAGAUUUGUCUAGAUACGGAUGUAUCUAACACUAAAACGUAACUAGAUACAUCCGUAUUUAGACAAAUCUAAGACAAGAAUUUUGGGACGGAGGGAGUAGUAA
rnacentral:pre_miRNA from 1 species